rnacentral:lncRNA from 1 species
UUUUGUAGGUUGCAAGUCCUGGUCUGGUUUAUUUAUAAAGCAAUAAAUAUUUGAAGCACAAACAAACUGCACGUGUGUAAACAAACUGUACAAUGACUGAUGGGAGAUGGGAGAGGGCCUCAGAGGAUUCCAAGCACAAUACUGUCAUCCUGAGUGUAAGGUAGCCGCCUCAGAAGCACUUGCGGUGGACAAUGGAGGGCCCGGCCUCAUCGUACUCUUGCUUGCUGAUCCACAUUUGUUGGAAGGUAGUCAGUGAGGUCCCGACCAGCUAGAUCCAGACGCAUGAUGGCAUGGGGUAAGGCAUAACCCUCAUAGAUGGGGACGUUAUGAGUCACACCGUCGCCAGAAUC